rnacentral:rRNA from 1 species
CCUACGGGAGGCAGCAGUGAGGAAUAUUGGUCAAUGGACGAGAGUCUGAACCAGCCAAGUAGCGUGAAGGAUGACUGCCCUAUGGGUUGUAAACUUCUUUUAUAAAGGAAUAAAAUGAGGCACGUGUGCCUUUUUGCAUGUACCUUAUGAAUAAGGAUCGGCUAACUCCGUGCCAGCAGCCGCGGUAAUACGGAGGAUCCGAGCGUUAUCCGGAUUUAUUGGGUUUAAAGGGAGCGUAGGCGGGACGUUAAGUCAGUUGUGAAAGUUUGCGGCUCAACCGUGAAAUUGCAAUUGAUACUGGCAGUCUUGAGUACAGGUGAGGUAGGCGGAAUUCGUGGUGUAGCGGUGAAAUGCUUAGAUAUCACGAAGAACCCCGAUUGCGAAGGCAGCUUACUGAACUGUGACUGACGUUGAUGCUCGAAAGUGUGGGUAUCAAACAGGAUUAGAUACCCGAGUAGUC